rnacentral:rRNA from 1 species
AUGAACGCUGGCGGCGUGCCUAAUCCAUGCAAGUCGCGCGAACAGACGAGGAGCUUGCUCCUCUGACGUUAGCGGCGGACGGGUGAGUAACACGUGGAUAACCUACCUAUAAGACUGGGAUAACUUCGGGAAACCGGAGCUAAUACCGGAUAAUAUAUUGAACCGCAUGGUUCCAUAGUGAAAGACGGUUUUGCUGUCACUUAUAGAUGGAUCCGCGCCGCAUUAGCUAGUUGGUAAGGUAACGGCUUACCAAGGCAACGAUGCGUAGCCGACCUGAGAGGGUGAUCGGCCACACUGGAACUGAGACACGGUCCAGACUCCUACGGGAGGCAGCAGUAGGGAAUCUUCCGCAAUGGGCGAAAGCUUGACGGAGCAACGCCGCGUGAGUGAUGAAGGUCUUCGGAUCGUAAAACUCUGUUAUUAGGGAAGAACAAAUGUGUAAGUAACUAUGCACGUCUUGACGGUACCUAAUCAGAAAGCCACGGCUAACUACGUG